rnacentral:lncRNA from 1 species
UUUGAAUAAACCUUGAGUUACAUCUCCCCAGAAUGUGAACAAAAUACUAAAAAAAUAACCUUUAGCUUCCAUCUUAGGACCAAUACUGUAUUGUUUCCAAGGCAGAAGAGUGGUAAGGUCCAGGCAAGAGGGGUUAAGUGUCUUCCCCAGGUUCACACAGCUAGAAAAUGUCCAAGACCAAAUAUGAAGCCAAGACCUCCCAUCCAUAUAGCCAGCUCUCCAUUCAUUGAGCCACCUAGAUGUCCCUUUAACAAUGCAUUUUGAUGAUUGUCACUAUUUAUUGGCACAGAUUGUGCAUUUAGAAUUUAAAUAAUUUUUCUUCACAGCUUCUCCUUGUCUGAAAUCACAAUGGACUUUGUUCUACUCCUAGAAAAUGGACAGAAUUGGUGACAGGAUUGGAUGCAUAGGUCUUGCUGUCCAGGGGAGUAAAGUAUGCCUCAUAGUCUUCCAGUGGGCCACAGAGAGAACCAAUGACAUCAUGGGACAAUGUCUUGCUGUGCAUUAAUUGGAUUUAAGUGAGGCAGAGUUAUGCAAAGACAUCAGCCUCAUUCUCUCUGUCAGAGUCACCAAAGUCCAGUAGCAAGAGAAAAGUCAGGAUGACUGGGCAAUGACCCUUGAUGCAGCAGAUGACUUUGGUAUCUUCCAUGUCUGACCAAGUUCUCACUAUUCCACAGCAUCUGCUUCAACACUUUUAUGACUUUUAAAAUAUUUUUUCAUCUUCCCAUUCCUCCAGAAGAAGUCUUCACAGAAGUCUAGAAACCCCCCUAACUCCCUGUCAGUUCCUCUCAAUCUAAUUUAGCCCACCCACUGAGAUGAUUUUACUGGGAGUGUAGACACAGCACAUACUACAGUUUCUUGGAGCUACAGAUGAAAUGAAAGCUCAAUGAAAGGUGUACCCAAAAGGUGGAUGAGCAGCACUGAAAAGAGCAAACCAAUCCCUCACACCAGAGGCACUAGUCCUUCCUGAACACCCUAAAAUCUAUAUAUCCUAUACAAGAUAUAGGACUUCUAGAUAGAACAUGUAUUUAUAUAUAUAUACAUAUAUUAUAUACCCAUCUAUACUCAUACAUGAAUACAUAUAAAUAUUAUAUAUAUACUUUACCAUAUAUAUUUG